rnacentral:tRNA from 1 species
GCGCUCGUCGCCCGAAUGGAUCGGGCACCAGUCAGCGAAGCUGGACGAUGCAGGUUCGAAUCCUGCCGAGCGUG